CUACGGGUGGCAGCAGUGGGGAAUAUUGCACAACGGAGGAAACUCUGAUGCAGCAACGCCGCGUGGAGGAUGACACUUUUCGGAGCGUAAACUCCUUUUAUAUAGGAAGAAGAUGACGGUACUAUAUGAAUAAGCGCCGGCUAACUCCGUGCCAGCAGCCGCGGUAAUACGGGGGGCGCAAGCGUUACUCGGAAUCACUGGGCGUAAAGAGCGUGUAGGCGGAUUAAAAAGUCAGAAGUGAAAUCCUGUAGCUUAACUAUAGAACUGCUUCUGAAACUCUUAAUCUAGAAUAUGGGAGAGGUAGAUGGAAUUUCUGGUGUAGGGGUAAAAUCCGUAGAGAUCAGAAGGAAUACCGAUUGCGAAGGCGAUCUACUAGAACAUUAUUGACGCUGAGACGCGAAAGCGUGGGGAGCAAACAGGAUUAGAUACCCUUGUAGUC
rnacentral:rRNA from 1 species